rnacentral:lncRNA from 1 species
GUUCCGGAACCUGACCUGAGCUGGGGCCUGUGCUUCCAGCGGGUGGUGGGGGGCCUGGUGUGCUGGCAUCAAGUAAGCCGACUACCUCGGCAAAGGCUUAGGGACAAGAGACCAGCAGCCUGAACUGGCUGGGGCAUCCGGAAGGCUUAGAUCUUGUGGCCAAGAGUUCAGACCGUGGCGAAGUGGAGAGUGACAUGCAGUUGGAUGGCGGUGACUGCGUGGUCCUGCAACCCUGGUUCCAGUCUGGCAAGCAUUGUAGACCUGGCUGCUGAAGACUGACGGGGCCCAGGGUCCGCUGCCCCCACCGCCAUCACCACCUCGGAACCCAGGGUAACGCUGUCAGUCUUUGAUGAUGUCAGAAGUGGGAUCCAAAGUAGAGCUUAUAAUGACACCUAGGAGUGCUGAGUGACCAAGCAAGGUACCCACCAGGCCGAUUAUGUCCAUUGUUCUCUUGGAGCAGCUGGUCAUCAUGUGUCCUGCUCUGUCAUCCAGGUUGAAGUGCAGUGGGCGAUCAUGGCUCACGGCAGCCUCGACCUCCCAAGAUCAAGCAAUCCU